rnacentral:rRNA from 1 species
AUUGAGCGCUGGCGGCAGGCUUAACACAUGCAAGUCGAGCGGGGAAGGGUAGCUUGCUACCUAACCUAGCGGCGGACGGGUGAGUAAUGCUUAGGAAUCUGCCUAUUAGUGGGGGACAACAUUUCGAAAGGGAUGCUAAUACCGCAUACGCCCUAAGGGGGAAAGCAGGGGAUCUUCGGACCUUGCGCUAAUAGAUGAGCCUAAGUCGGAUUAGCUAGUUGGUGGGGUAAAGGCCUACCAAGGCGACGAUCUGUAGCGGGUCUGAGAGGAUGAUCCGCCACACUGGGACUGAGACACGGCCCAGACUCCGACGGGAGGCAGCAGUGGGGAAUAUUGGACAAUGGGGGGAACCCUGAUCCAGCCAUGCCGCGUGUGUGAAGAAGGCCUUUUGGUUGUAAAGCACUUUAAGCGAGGAGGAGGCUACCGAGAUUAAUACUCUUGGAUAGUGGACGUUACUCGCAGAAUAAGCACCGGCUAACUCUGUGCCAGCAGCCGCCGCAGUAA